UUAUUUCUCUAUUUCGCAUUUAACAUAUGUUAAUCAUGAAAAUCAUUGUGUCAAACCUAAACACAUUUUUUUUUUGUCAAAAGUAAUAUAUUAUUUUUAUUGAAAUUUUAAAUCAUACAUCUUUCUUUCAUGUUUUCUCGUAUCAUAUUCAUGCCGUAUGAUCUCAUUUUCAAUUACCUCUAUUAGCUCCACAAGUGCACACUCCAACUCUUUAAGUACUGUAGCGUUGAUUUGUCAAUUCAAAUACAUCAAAAGUAGGAAGAAAUGAAAAUUUUGGAAUGGUUAUAGCCUUGAAGUCGAAACACAAGUCUUUGCUAUGCUCUGGCUUUCAUUCAAUAUAACAGCUCAGAUUAGCCAGAAUAAUGUUGAUCCAUUCGAUUGUCCAAGAACAAACCACAAGCCAAUUAGCAAAUGAACAAGAAACAGGAAUCAACGGAGUAUUGUGAAGAACCAGAAGGAGCCCCGGAUUGCUCCCAAGGUUUUGGAGGAGGAACAUUACCUGCAAUGUUGACCCAGAAAUCAAUGUUCCAAAAUAGAAAAACCCAUAGUUCCAAACAGCAAUUCAUGCCUUUUCAGCAAAGCUGUGACAUGAUAUUCUUUUACAGAUAAACCAGAAACGUAAUAAAUUUAUAGUUUUGAAUGGAAUUUCUAAUAAAAAUUUUAAAAAUAAAAUAAAAUGUUGAAUUAGAAAUUGAGAACUUCGCCGAACCUGAUGGUUUGGUAUUGGAUCCCAUUGUCUGAACGACACAGGAGGAAACAACACCAGAUUAUGGUUAAGACCACACGAUGAAGCUGUUUCAACUAAUAUUGUACAAAAUCUAGAAGUUUCCGGACAGUAAACCUAAGUGAAUCCAUACUGUCAUUUAGUGACGUGUCCUGUCCAGAACUUUAGCUCACUUACCGCCUAACUACGGCGCCGUUUUGUUUCAUUUGUGCGUUUUAUAAACUUUCCUUU
rnacentral:lncRNA from 1 species